UCUAGAACUCGAGAUAUGGGCUGAACACUGAACAGUGUCUAGGCUGUAGGACAGAUUUGGACUUCUUCGUUGUUGCUACAAUUUGGACUUGAAAACGGCCUUGUUAAAUCUUGGACUCCCAUGAAAGUUGUAGGCAUAUCGUCUUACCUUUCUAUC
rfam:Populus trichocarpa scaffold_23_contig_86, whole genome shotgun sequence.